CAAUGUGGGGUUCACGUGUGUAUCAUCGUUUUCUGUUUAUGUCUUCACGGGCUUUGCAUUUUGGCUGGAAAAUCGUCUAGGGUUGCGUACCUCAUCUUCCAGAUUCUUCGUCGACUGAGACGCUCCCAAUUCCUAACUCCUAAGUUUCGUUUUUCAAACUCGAUCUCUUCGACUCCUCCACGUUCACUACCGAUUUCGCGAUAUGUCUUCCUGUAACGGAUUCUCUAGCCUAAUUUAUAUAGAGUUCCUUGAAGGAGUUGGUCGAUCGAUAUGAUUUCUACCCGAACUAAAUUUUCGUCGUUGACUGAGGAUGGUCCGGUCGUGUUAAUGCAACUGGAAUGAACGGAAGGAUGAAGAGAACUGAUUCCAUUGAACAAUGAGUUAGAGGCGGGAGAUACAGACACAGGAAGAGGCAACUCUUCCUGUGAGACGCCUUCCAAUUGGCAGCCAAAACCCAGAAAGAGGUGUUGUGAGAUGGCCCAGCUGGAUUAGGAAGAAUGUCUAGCAGCCGCAGCUAAAGUCGUUGUUGCUUAGAUUUAUGCAAGAAUCUUUUUCCGGGAGAGGUGUUUACGUUUGGGUAAGAGGUUAGAGGCUUCUACGAGUGUAGGACAGGAGUCAGAAGACAAGGUGAUGGUUACUAACUAAUCCCACGACUAGGAAAAAGUAUAAGCAUAAGGCGAUCGGUCAUGCCGGACAUGUUAUUGAUCCUGGCCGUAUGCGAGGAAGAUGAAUCAUUCUAUAUCUAUCAGUAGCUUAACUCUCUUCACAUCCAAUACAAUGUGUUUACAGUUCUCUUUAUCUUGACUUUGUUGUUGUUGGUUGUUUAUCUAAUGAAUAAGAAAUCCAAAGUCAUGUAAAAAUUAAGUUCCAACAAAUGAUUACCGAGAUUGUAUGUUAUAGUUACUAAUA